AUUGAACGCUGGCGGCAGGCCUAACACAUGCAAGUCGAGCGGAUGAGUGGAGCUUGCUCCAUGAUUCAGCGGCGGACGGGUGAGUAAUGCCUAGGAAUCUGCCUGGUAGUGGGGGACAACGUUUCGAAAGGAACGCUAAUACCGCAUACGUCCUACGGGAGAAAGCAGGGGACCUUCGGGCCUUGCGCUAUCAGAUGAGCCUAGGUCGGAUUAGCUAGUAGGUGAGGUAAUGGCUCACCUAGGCGACGAUCCGUAACUGGUCUGAGAGGAUGAUCAGUCACACUGGAACUGAGACACGGUCCAGACUCCUACGGGAGGCAGCAGUGGGGAAUAUUGGACAAUGGGCGAAAGACCUGAUCCAGCCAUGCCGCGUGUGUGAUGAAGGCCUCGGUCGGUAA
rnacentral:rRNA from 1 species